AUGUCCACUACUCCUGUGCUGGGGUUACCCGACUUUGAUAAGCAGUUCACCAUUGAAACAGAUGCGUGCUCAACGGGUAUUGGAGCUGUUCUUUUGCAACAAGGACAUCCUGUAGCAUUCUACAGUAAAGCACUGGGUAUUAAGAAUCAGCAACUUUCCAUCUAUGAGAAAGAGUUUUUAGCUAUCAUGAUGGCAGUGGAGAAAUGGAGGGCUUAUUUACAAAGAGGACCUUUUAUUAUCAAAACCGACCAUCAGAGUUUGUGUCAGUUAGGGGAUCAAAUUCUCACUUCUGAUCUUCAACGAAAAGCCAUGACUAAACUGGUGGGACUUCAGUUUCAGUUUCAGUACAAAAAGGGGACUGAAAACACUGUGGCUGAUGCAUUAUCAAGAGUAGGACAUCUGCUUGCGGUGUCUGCGACUUCUCAGAGUCAACCGGUGUGGCUGCAAGAGGUGGUGAACUCUUAUGAAGUGGACCCUAAAGCACAACAAUUAAUACAACAGCUAGCAGUUUCUAGUGAGAAUGUAGAGGGAUUUUCCUUGCAGCAAGGGAUAAUCAAAUUUCAAGAUAGAAUUUGGAUUGGAGCAAAUUCAGCUUUAAAAACCAAAUUAAUAUCUGCCUUUCAUGAUAGUGCAAUGGGAGGCCAUUCGGGGAUACUUGCUACUUACCAGAGAGUUCACAAACUGUUUGCUUGGUCAGGAUUGAAGAAGGAUGUGACUGAAUAUGUGCAACAAUGUGACAUUUGUCAGAAAGCAAAACAUGAACAUUGCAAGUACCCUGGCCUACUGAAUCCCUUGCCUGUUCCUGAGGGCCCUUGGUAG
rnacentral:rRNA from 1 species